UACGUAGGGUGCAAGCGUUGUCCGGAAUUAUUGGGCGUAAAGAGCUCGUAGGCGGUUUGUCGCGUCUGCUGUGAAAUCCCGAGGCUCAACCUCGGGCCUGCAGUGGGUACGGGCAGACUAGAGUGCGGUAGGGGAGAUUGGAAUUCCUGGUGGAGCGGUGAAAUGCGCAGAUAUCAGGAGGAACACCCGUAGCGAAGGCGGCACUCUGGGCCGGAACUGACGCUGAGGAGCGAAAGCGUGGGGAGCGAACAGG
rnacentral:rRNA from 1 species